UAUAUUAUAGUGUUUGAUGCACUUUAAUUUUUGGAGUUAAAAGAUUUAGUUUAAUUCUAAAUAAUAUA
rnacentral:tRNA from 1 species